rnacentral:rRNA from 1 species
UACGGGGGGUGCGAGCGUUGUCCGGAAUCACUGGGCGUAAAGGGCGCGUAGGUGGUCUGAUAAGGGUGUGGUGAAAGCCCGGGGCUCAACCCCGGGUCGGCCGUGCCGACUGUUAGACUAGAGUACUGUAGGGGCAGGCGGGAAUUCCGGGUGUAGCGGUGGAAUGCGUAGAGAUCCGGAGGAACACCAGCGGCGAAGGCGGCAUCCUGGACCUGAUCUGACACUGAGGAGCGAAAGCGUGGGGAGCGAUCCGG